GCAUUGCUGAGGAGUUCCAUAUUAGGACGAAACGACCGUCCAAUGC
rnacentral:hammerhead_ribozyme from 1 species